rnacentral:lncRNA from 1 species
AUAGACUCUAGCCUCCAGGUGGCGCUAAUGGUCUUUGUUUCAUCGGUGAAAACUUGUUUUUGCUCCGGCGAGAGCGCUGCCAAAGGCCACUUAACGUUAUUUAUAUAUUUACUCAUUUAGUCCCUUCUCUUCAUUCAUUCAUUUCAUAAUUUAUGUUUACAGGAUAUACUAAUGGUGAGGAAAUGGACAUCCCAGAGAUUAGAUAAUUUGUCCUGGGCCCGUGACCGUUAGGAGGUAGAACGUGAAUUCACGUCCAGUCUGCUGGACCGUAAAGUUCAUCCCCUUAACUAUUCCACUACACUGAGGAAGCUCUCUUCAACUGUCGUAAGCGGAAUUUGCUGAUUGGUCAACAAAGUAGUCAACAAAAACUACAGCCCACAGGGGAAGCCCGUGGCGCGGCGGAAGAGAAAACAGAGGAUCCCAAAAUGAAGACACUUGCUCAAGUUCACACAGCUGUUAAGUGGAUGGCAAGGGGCCAGACUUCUAAGAGACCCUGACUUGUUUCCCUUUGUUUUUUUCUAUCACCACACUGGUUUCCCCAGAGGACAUUGACGUUGACAGAGAAAGACCAAAGGAAUCUUUGUGACUUCAUCCAAAUGUCACAGCAAGAAAAAACAUCUGGAUAUUCCAUUUCUCUUCGUGGCGGCAGAUGCAGCCUCUGCAGUGGUCAUUUCUGCGUUGAUCCUUGACCAACAGAUGCAGGUGAAAUAAGAAUGGAGAAAAAGGAAGCAAUCUCCGUGGUUUCAUUGGCGCUCACUCAUUGAGCCUUCCAGAGGAGGCUCCUGCCUUGCGAAGGUUCAGAGUCUAGGACAUCUAAUCCACCCAGAGGGGGCUUCAUAUUUGAUUAGGCCCUUGGAAUCCAGCUUAGAAAAUGAGCUGUUAAAAAGUCGAGGCAAAAUAGAGAGUGGACCCCUGACUCUUAGGGUGGGUUGGCGGCCGGUCUGAGCAGGAAGUGUUCUGAUGUGCUGACAGUGAGGAAACAGGCCGUGUUUUUGUUUAUUUUCUCAUAAAGUGCUGAUGAACAAAUGAGGUAGUUGCAUUAAGGGGCUCCGAAGCAAGCUGUGAAAAGAGAUUGGGGUUUAUCAGCCUUUUAGCCUGGUUUCCUUUGGAAAGAAUGCUUGUGACAUGGCGAGGCUCUGCAAGUCUGCGUGUCCACCCCCUCGGCGCGGCGCCCCUCCUCCCCGCACGCUCCUUGAUAACUUUGACUGCCUCAAACUGAUGUCAGCCCUUUUUGGUAGAUGGGGAGAAGGAGGGCCUCAUGGAUUCCUUAAUAAUAGAAGCAAAUGCUCGAGAGAUAGAGCAAUUUCCACACAUUAAAUAACCUCCUUUUUGUUUUUUGUGCUUAUGCUUGAUAGUUCUAAAUUUAAUUUGUGGACUCCUUUAAAGAGAUUUCUAGGAAAUUGGUGGGGGUGGGAAGUAGGAGAGGGCUCUGUUGGGAGGACAUUCAUAUUUUUUUGGAUCUAAGAUCUUACCUGACACAAGAAUGGAGGAAAGUCAGAAAUAUGAGGAAAGCAUUGCCUAUAGCUAUGAAUAAAUCUGUCACUUGGAAGAUAAAAACGCUUAAGCAGCAUACCUUAAAAUAAAGUAUGAGCUUUGAAUCCUUGGUGGAGCAAUGCAUGGAACAAAGAAAGAAAUGGUCAAAUAAAUUUAAAAAAUUAGAUAAUCCAGAAGCUUGCUUUGCUGCUAAACUCUGUGUCCUUCCAAGUUUCGUAAAGAGUAAUUGUAGAGUGGCCGUUAUCUCUGCUCCUUAGCUCUAGUUACCUCAGCUGCAAAGGUCGUGGCACCUUCCUCUGGGGGAGAAAUGAAGUCUGUUUCUCCUGAGCCAGAGUUGACAUCGUAGGAGUACAGUAACGUCUGGUAAAAUAACUCACUCAAAAUCAAGUUUGACCAGUGUGCUUCUGAGUCAAGGGAUUUAAAAUGUUUCACAGAUGACAGCAAUUUUAACCAAUGUGACCUAGGAUAAUUCCAAGGAAUAAAAAAUAUGGUAAAUGGUUCAGAAUGGAUUUGGUCCAAUACUGAAGGUUUUACAGGUUUUUUUAAAAAUUUCUUGCAAUGCAUGAAUAAAUGAAAAUAAUAAUAGGGUUUUGGAAGUAAUUGGAUUAUAUAUUGGAAGGAGAUGAAAUAUUUGAUGUGAAGUUCAAUUUGCUCAGAAAUAAGGACUAGCAUACACUUUGCUCUUUCCUGCUGUGUAUAUAUAUAUAUAUAUUUUUAAUUAAAAAUAUUUUUUCUUUUUGAGGAAGAUUAGCCCUGAGCCAACAUCUGUCACCCAUCCUCCU